ensembl:snRNA U6 U6 spliceosomal RNA
GUGCUCGCUUUGGCAGCACAUGUACUAAAAUUGGUAUGAUACAAAGAAGAUUAUCAUGGCCCCUGCACAAGGAUGACACGCAAAUUUGUGAAAGUUGU